rnacentral:rRNA from 1 species
UACGAAGGGGGCUAGCGUUGUUCGGAAUUACUGGGCGUAAAGCGCACGUAGGCGGAUAUUUAAGUCAGGGGUGAAAUCCCGCAGCUCAACUGCGGAACUGCCUUUGAUACUGGGUAUCUUGAGUAUGGAAGAGGUAAGUGGAAUUCCGAGUGUAGAGGUGAAAUUCGUAGAUAUUCGGAGGAGCCCCAGUGGCGAAGGCGGCUUACUGGUCCAUUAUUGACGAUGAGGUGCGAAAGCGUGGGGAGCAAACAGG